rnacentral:rRNA from 1 species
UACGAAGGGGGCUAGCGUUGUUCGGAAUCACUGGGCGUAAAGCGCACGUAGGCGGAUUCGUUAAGUCAGGGGUGAAAUCCCGAGGCUCAACCUCGGAACUGCCUUUGAUACUGGGAAUCUUGAGUAUGGUAGAGGUUGGUGGAACAGCAAGUGUAGAGGUGAAAUUCGUAGAUAUUUGCUAGAACACCAGUGGCGAAGGCGGCCAACUGGACCAUAACUGACGCUGAGGUGCGAAAGCGUGGGGAGCAAACAGG